GGGUGCAGUCAGCCAACCCAGUGAGCGAGGCUUCAGCCCAGGCAGCCGCAGGCAGUGGCCGACAGGCGAUCCACGGUUCUCCAGGUGGCAGUCACUGGGAGAACCACUCACCUGCCGCCUAGGCGGGGGCCAGUGGGGCAGCACCGAAGGGCUUCCACAUCCGGGCUCCAUCUGUCAAUACCAGGUGCGCCCAUCAGCCCUAGCUGACCUGUUCCCACCCCUCUCCUCCUCUUGAGGCAGCCUGGGACAAUGAGAGAUGAGUUAUCCUCUGGGUAGGUCAUCCCUCCUCUUCCGUGUUUCCAGACGAAGUACAAGGGACUUGGAUGGCUGGACUCAACCCGGGAGGAGAAGUAACUGCAUUGAGAACCUAACUUUGUGUUGGAACUUUGCACCUGUUCCCUCUUUCAGUCCUCACAACUCCAUGAAGUAGCUGGCAUAAUCCUCAUUUUCCACCUGCACAAAUAAGACCCAGGGAAGCUCGGCGACUGCUUCACAUCCCAAGGUCCCUUGCCCCAGGACCUCACUGCUCUGUGCUGCAGGGCUGGAGUUGCCAGGAGCAGCCAGAAAAGGAAGUAGCUGGACACUCUGGGUCCCACAGAGACCUUUAUCUCCAUGGCACAGAGGAGGAAGAUGUGGACUAGAGAGGAUUCAGGGUGUUUGCUGUUGACCUAUCUGAUGUCGGUGAUGCCCCAGCGUCAGCCCGUGUUGCCCACCCAGCGCUGCUGCUCCUUGCUCCUAUGUGAUCUCUGUCUGGACCCAGGGCCGCCAGAGUUCUCUCUUCUCUCCGCAGAUGAGCCCCCGGAUGAUGGGGGCUGAUGGGCCCUCGAACAUGGGGCCUGGGCAUGGCUCCAUGUGGCCACUAGGGGGCAGCAUUGCCAAGCCUGCAGACUCAAAGCGGGGGGUGGGCUUUUGGCUGUGCUCAGAUAGACUCAUGCCUGAGCAACUCCCAGGAGGGCCAACCAGGCCUCCACUUCAACCUGGUCUUUAAGAGCUGGUCCAGGUCUGUCCCCCUCCAGCUUCCUGUGAGUCUGGUAGCCUGGCCCUGCUGCUCUAAGUUUCCCCCAUGAGCCAUGCUUCCUGAGCCCAGCCAGCCUUUCUGAGCCCCACCAAGACUUUGGUGAACCCACCCUGGCUGGCAUUCCCAAACACCCCUCUGGGGCCCUAGAGCCCUCACUACUGGUCUGCCCUUGGGUCCCACCCCACAGCACACAGAACGCCUGCAUACCUGUGGACCAGAUCUCCCCAGGCAGGCCUCCCUGGUGUGCUCCUACUUGAAUCCGGCCUCGAGGGACCAGAUUAGUGACUUCUCAUUGAUGGAGUGCAAGCCGCGGCCAGGCAGCCUCAGUAACCCCCUGCGCUAGGGGGAGCUCAGGAGCUGGUCUCUUGAGGGCAGGUCAGGCCCAGUCUCCCUCCUAGCGGUCUGGGGGCCACUUGGUCCUCCAGUCCUUGCUUCCCCGCUUGCCAGCCAGGUACUCACCACAGGGGUCCUCCUCUGUGGGCUUCUAGGCACCUUUCCUGGGACCAGUGCUGAGCUUUUCUCCGAAGCUUAAAAGGCUCAUGCCCAGGGCUGUGCACCUGGCAGCGCCCCUUUCAGCCAAAAGCGUGGCAUUGGCAGCCAGUCUGCGCCCUGUAGCGGCAGCGGGAGCCUCACAUUAUGGCGGGCUAGCGCAGUCCGACCAACGACAGGGGGACUGAGGGGGCCGGGAGGGGCGGAGAGCUAUGCCUCUGGCCCAGGAGAGGGAGGAUGUGAGAUAGGAGUGGAGGGGAACUCUCCUGCCCGCUCCCCCUAGCCCCAGGGCUGGGACAAGGGUGGGCCAACAGGUCGGCUUACCGCGGUGCAGGGCUCUGGGUCCGGGACGCAGUGAGGGCUGGGGCCCGAGGGACCUGCUGCUGGCAGAGCCCGUGGGCCGUGUCUGGGGGCCGAGCCCAACUCCAUCCCUUAGCAGCCUCAUGCCCGCCGCCAUCCGGUGUCAAAUUCCAGCCCCGGCGUCACCGGAUCCCGGGGUGGGGCCCGGAGCGCCCCCGCCCAGCCCCACCUUUCAGGGCUCACCUGGCCGCUCCACCUGCUGGGAUCCGGUCCCCCCGGGCUAUGCUAGGUCCCCCAAGCUGGGCUGGGGGAGGAGACGCUGGGAAGGGACCCUGGGGAUGCAGAGUGGAGAACCCGGGCGGCGGAGAGGCACGGGAACUGGGAGUUCAGAGUUUGUAGGCACGCAAAGUAGGGAGUUGGGAGGCUGGGCGGAGGGCGGGCAGGGAGGAGACAGGCCGGUCGCUGCCUCUGCUGUGGGGCCCUGAGAUUGGCGUGGGCUCCGGGGUUCCAGCUGGCUAAGCCACCGUGGCUGCUCUCCGAUCCCUGGCCCACCGCAGGCUUCUCUCCGCAGAACCAUGGACUGGUCAGAUUGGUGAAGUGGGGCACUGGGGCUCCGGAGGCCUGACCCUGCUCCAGCCACCCUGCCGCCCGCCGGGCAAACGGUGCGCUCCCUGGGGCCGCGCUGGUAGGAGCGGGAGCCCCGGCGGCAGAGGGGAGGGUCACAGAGGAGAGACGCAUGCACGGAAGCUUUGAGGUACAGUCCCCAAGAUGAAGCAACAUGCUCGAUCAAGGUCACAGAGGUGGCUGGGCCAAGUGUGACACCGGAGUGUCA